CCCUAUACGUCAUCACUGAGUAAACUUUGACCCGGAACCUCACAGUCAGCAGACACUUCCUGGGAGGGAGGUUCUGCUUCUGAUUGGGUGGAAUGUGUCUGCUGGCUGUGAGGUUCCGGGUCAAAGUUUACUCAGUGAUGACGUAUAGGG
rnacentral:miRNA from 1 species